CCUACGGGGGGCAGCAGUGAGGAAUAUUGGUCAAUGGGCGCGAGCCUGAACCAGCCAAGUAGCGUGAAGGAUGACUGCCCUACGGGUUGUAAACUUCUUUUAUAAAGGAAUAAAGUGAGGCACGCGUGCCUUUUUGUAUGUACUUUAUGAAUAAGGAUCGGCUAACUCCGUGCCAGCAGCCACGGUAAUACGGAGGAUCCGAGCGUUAUCCGGAUUUAUUGGGUUUAAAGGGAGCGUAGAUGGGUUGUUAAGUCAGUUGUGAAAGUUUGCGGCUCAACCGUAAAAGUGCAAUUGAUACUGGCAGCCUUGAGUACGGGUGAGGUAGGCGGAAUUCGUGGUGUAGCGGUGAAAUGCUUAGAUAUCUCGAAGAACUCCGAUUGCGAAGGCAGCUUACUAAACUGCCACUGACAUUGAUGCUCGAAAGUGUGGGUAUCAAACAGGAUUAGAUACCCGGGUAGUC
rnacentral:rRNA from 1 species